UAGAGGCCAUGCUGUAGAGGCUACAUGUGAAAGAAGUUUGGGAUCUCAGGAAGAAUGCCUACAUCUUUCAUGAGCACGGUCAAGAAAAAAAUCCCAAACCCAUCCACGUAAAAUGCCCAGAGGCUGCGAAAGCUUUCCUUCAAAUGAGGUACCAGUUCCCUGAACCUGGCUUGAUUUCACUCCUGAAAGAAGAGGCCCCACAAACAACAGAGGAAGACAGCAUUGCGGUACCAUGGAGAACUUUCCAGGAAUCGACUCCCAGGAAGGCUCAGCUCCUGGAGCCAGCGCCGGCCCCAUCCAGGGAACCACACUACAUGCUACAGAAGAGUCUGUAGCAACCAAGUAGGGCUCAGGAGACCUGAGCUGUUCCACAUUGGAAAGAGGCCCUUUAGGUGUACACAGUGCGACAGUGCGACACAGACACCUGAAGACUCACUCUGGUGAGAAACCCCUGACGUGCACCAGAGGUUCCUCAGCCGUCCAUCCAGAGUCCGUGAGCUCUACUUAGCUCAGAUCAGCUGUCUCUGUGGAGUUUCCCAUCAUACUAUUGACCUCCUAGCUGUGGAUCUCUGCAUCUGCUUCCAUCAGUCAAGGGGUGAUUUUCUUAUAACCAUUUCUCUCUUGCUCUGGGAUUAGAGACAUGUAUUUGAAGGAAGUAUUUCUUUGCUAAAUACAUCCUCACAAUUAAUUGCUCUUCUGUAUUGUGAAGCUGUUACUCAUCAAGUAGGAGUUAUUUGGUAGUUGUUUGAGGUUUUGUGAUUUCUUUUCCCCCUUCCUUAUUAAAAACAAUCCGUCCUGUAUUAUUACUGCUCCUUGCACACUGACAUCAUCGGCAUGGUCAGUUUCAACUAAAUCUGAUUUCUAUACUAGGCAUGCUUCACAAUUUAAAGGUUAAGGCUUGAGUUGCCUAUUUUCUACCAUUUUAAGGUAUUAAAUGUUUUCACCAUUGCCUUGAGUGGUGGUCUUAUGAAGACACAUGCACCCUAGAGUCACAGAACCCAAAUCCUUGCCUGAGCAGGGUAAGCCAUAGCCACUGUCAUUGACUGCUUUGAUUUUCUUCAUCAAGCUAGUCUUUCGAGGUCGACCCCAGUAUGCACAGUGAAGUCAUGAAAUCUAAAACAAACAUGAUGUCUCAGAAUCUUCACCCACACAACCCUUUCCUCACAUUCAGUUCUUAAAUUUCCAUUGGUUGGUUCCUCAUUGACUGUUUCUGUAUCCUGGCCUAGUUUUCAGCCAUUUGAAUUAAGAGGUCAUGGAUACUCCUUGCAGGCUUUGGGUUAUGAGCUCUUGACACCCCUGGAUUAGUGUUUCAGACUCCCCAGCCCUCACUAGAGAGAUCCAGACAGCUCAGAGUAGAGUACCUUUGCUGGUUCUGAUGUUCCCUUGCUGCCACACAUGGCACAGGUGACAUUAUGGGGAUGGUUCUACGAUGACUGUUGCCCAUGGACUGUGUGGGAUACAUAGAAUAUGUACAUGCCAUUGCUCCCAUGUUGUACAAGCCAAACACCCCCGAGUUAAUUUUCCACUUUCUAAUUCUGUGUGUUUGGUAUCAUAAUGGACACCAAACAUAACCCACGUCUCACUUUCUCCUUCUGAGUCCUAGCCUAGCAGACAUUUCUGCCAUGUUAUUACUACGUGGAUAUGCAGCAGAUUUUUAAUAGCUUUUCUAAUGUAGAAACUUGUUUUAAGCAAACAUACAUCUCCCAAAGAAAACUGGAAACCAAUGCUGCCCCCUUUGAAUCUUUGUAUUGCUCCUCCCAGCUAUAGUUAAUGUUCACUAACAUUUGUGCCAGGAGAUUUUUCUUACGUGUAGAUCUAUAAUUUUUUGAAAGGUUUAUCUGUAUGAAACAAAGCACUAUUUUGAAGGCUGUAAUUUUCUCUCCCAUAUCAUGAAUGUCUUUCUGU